CCUUCGGGAGAAGACCUAGUGGCGAACGGGUGAGUAACACGUGAGCAACCUGUCCCAGAGUUCGGGAUAAGCGGGGGAAACCCCGUCUAAUACCGGAUACCCUCGUCGGAUCUUUUGUUCCGGCAAGGAAAGUUUUUCGCUUUGGGAGGGGCUCGCGGCCUAUCAGCUUGUUGGUGGGGUAACGGCCUACCAAGGCUUCGACGGGUAGCUGGUCUGAGAGGAUGAUCAGCCACACUGGGACUGAGACACGGCCCAG
rnacentral:rRNA from 1 species